rnacentral:tRNA from 1 species
UGUGAUUUAGGGCAGAUUUGGUCUAAGCGACGCUCCCAGUGUCGCCCCACCCUAGGUGAGGCUCCCAGUGUCGCCU